rnacentral:siRNA from 1 species
UCAGCGACGGACCGGGCCUA